rnacentral:rRNA from 1 species
CACGUAGGGCGCAAGCGUUGUCCGGAAUUAUUGGGCGUAAAGAGCUCGUAGGUGGCCUGUCGCGUCGGCUGUGAAAACUCGGGGCUCAACUCCGAGCUUGCAGUCGAUACGGGCAGGCUAGAGUUCGGCAGGGGAGACUGGAAUUCCUGGUGUAGCGGUGAAAUGCGCAGAUAUCAGGAGGAACACCGGUGGCGAAGGCGGGUCUCUGGGCCGAUAUUGACGCUGAGGAGCGAAAGCGUGGGGAGCGAACAGG